rnacentral:lncRNA from 1 species
AUGGGUGCGGGGGUGGGGGUGGGAAUCAGGAGAGGGCUUGGGGCGCUGCGCCACACUGGUUUGUCACAGUAUUGUCCUGUCCUGUCACGGUGUCUCCACCACCAUGCACGGCCGCAUCUGUGUGCCAGAGGAACUCUCCUUUCCUUGGAAAGCGAGGCUCUGGGGGUGGGGGUGGGGCUCCCUCCCACUCUUCCGCAGUUUAGGCAUAUAUUCUCCCUUCCGAUCUGUUUCAUUCCAGGAUCUAGACUGACCAUGACCAUGAGCCACGCUGGAAGAUCCAGGUUCCGUAACUACUACUUUCCUUAGAUGCCUUGUUUCCGCUGCUAUAACAAAACAUGAAGUUGGGUGCUUUAUGAAGAAAAGAGGUUUGUUUGGCUUACAGUUUUGAAGGCUGAAAAGCAUGGCACUAGUCCCUGGUAAGUCCCCAUGGUGUGUGACAACACAGCAGAGAAGCCAAGAAGAGAACCCACCUUCUGUAUACAGAAGGAUCAAUCACAAGCUAUAUAGGCUCCCUUAAAGCAACAGCUCCCAUGAAGUUUCAUGCUACAGACCAGCAUUUGUCACUUCCUAGUGUGGAAGCCCCAUGCCUAACCUUGCUCUAAACUCUAAAAGUUCUAAUAGCAGGGGCCAGCUCUCAGGUGGGUUCACUGGUCCCAAAGAAUAUGGCCAGAGAAAUCACCGUGCAGACAAGGAGACAGUGGAGAGGGGGUAGAAAGAGUGUACACACAGAGAAAUGGAGAGAGAGAGAGAGAGAGAGAGAGAGAGAGAGAACAAAAUGUCUAUAUUAUGUAGAGAGAAUCUCUUGUGUACUGCGUGAAAGCAUCAGGUGAUAAAAGAGCUGAUCAGACAAUUAGCUGGAGAGAGGAGAUAGGGCAGAACUUCUAAUCCCAGUGAAGAGGUCCAAAGGGAGACCAGAACACAGUGGAGGACCACAAGGAGAAGAAGGUUUGGAGAGACCAGGCGGAUUCACUGAGAUGGCUGUGAGAAAGUAGCCAUGAGGACACACAUGAACCAGGACAAACCAGGGCGAGACACAGAUGCAGGUAAAGGGCCAUUUUGCUGGGCAGUAGCAGCCUAGUUGGGUUAUAAUAGAUUGGAAUCUGCCCAGCUAUAAGUGAUUGCAGCUCUUUCAUUAACCAACCAGAGGUGAUGGAAAGCAAUUUUUAUAUAAUGAAACCAGAGCUUCUUGACUAUGCUGUCAUCUAGACUGUAACCAGAUGUCUGGACAUAGAAAUCAGCAUCUGAAUGCCCAGUGCACAGAGCCAUCCUCCGUUAGGAUUGUAUAGGAAAGAACCUUUAGGAGGGGAAGCCCAGCCUGGGCUGGAAAGGUCUGGGUACAGGUGUCCGAGUAGCCUUCCACACCUGUGUUCACUUUAAUGAAACAUUCCUUCACAUGUUUGCUGCAGCAAAACACCAUCCAUCGGAUUUUCAAAAGAGCCUUUAAGUUCCCACCUCACCCUUUGCCCCAUUAACCUUCUUUCCCACUACCUCAGGUAGGUGGUGGGCUAGAAGGAAGGUUGGAACAUUGAAGAAACCUUAUUAAAGUAGAUUUUGAGAAAUCUAAUCCAAGAAGGGUGGGGUUGGUCGAAGAAAUAGUUUGGUCCUCAGAAUGUUUGCCAAUAUCUAGGGCAUUCAGGUCUGUUAUGGGGUCUCUGGGGGACUGGUUUUGGGGCCACCUGCUUAGAGAGACUGCCCAUUGUGUGAUGUUUUGGGGGGUAGGGAGAUGAGGGUGUGGUGUCAGAGGUUUACCAUUCUACACUCAAUCAGGAAGCUGCCCUUUCGAGCUAUUGCCUGUGCCUGUCGGGCUGCGGGAUGUGACGUGUGAAUCUAUGAAGCAUGCAUCUAUGGGACUCCAGGGAGCCCUGAGAAUGGGCCCUUCCUGAGAAACCUGGCAGCCUCCCGCACUCACUGAGGCUUCUACCUCUUUAGGCUGGGAAGGAAUAAGACCACUACCACAAUUUUAAAUCAAAUUUGAAUGAAGCAAGCUGGAUUUUAUUGGGGUGCACUGAAGAGCUGGGUAGCAACUGCCUCCUAAGUUGGGCAAAGAUAACAGUCCCAAAUCCAUUUCCUGGGACCCUUUUAAGGAAUAAAAUCACAAGUAGUUGCA